rnacentral:tRNA from 1 species
UGUGGGCUCAGUUGGUAGAGUGCUUGCCUUGCAUGCACAAGGCCCUGGGUUCAAUCCCCAGCA